UAGAUCUCUAUAGCUUCUGCUGCAGCGGCAUGCUUUUCUUUUGCAAAUGGCUUGUAUGACACAUGCUUCAGGCCAUUUUACUAUUAUGUUGUCUUCAUACAUACUCCUUGUCAGGGCUGUGGAAACUUCACCUUUAGCCAAGUCUUUCUUGUGUUCCUGCAAUCUUAUUUCUAAUGGCCUCGACAUAACACCUAUAUAUAUAUUUCCUCUUUAUUCUUCAUGUUGUUUACUGUGGGAAUCUUGUAUAUCUCUGCUUUUUGUCUCUUUUCUUCUAUCUUUUUUGUUCCUAAGGUAACCAUAGAUUGUAGGGUAUCUUUUGAAGGCAAUC
rnacentral:lncRNA from 1 species